UGCAAAAAUACGUUGGGCUCUUUCCACGUCACAUCGCCGCCGGCCGCCAAGAUCGAGGCGGCGCCGCUGCGCCGUGCGCCUGGGGUGAGGGGCGGGGAGGCGACGGGGCCGAGGGCCACCGUGCGCGCUGGGAGCAGCCUCCGCCUCGGCCCGAUUCGACGCCGGCGCUGGCUCCGCGGCUCGGCAUCGUGCUCUUAUCGCUGCGCCGUAUCGCGGCGGAUGGCGCCUCAGCCGGAGUGCGCCGCUCCGCGCGCGCCUGAGGGAGUCGUGGUAUGGCGUAGCCACUCGUCGGAAGGAGCCCAGCCGAACGCUGGAGGGCCCUCGCCGGGGCUGUUCCAGUGCUUCAACUGAAGGAAUUUUAUUCGAAGAACAACAUGGAUUAGAAUUUGCACAAAGUUGCAUCAGCAGUUGUGCUAUGGGAGUUUGAUAUAAUCUAUGGUUUACCGCAGGAAUCAUAUCUGUGAGAAGCUGAACUGAAGUAUUUGUCUCUGUGCUGAAAUUCAUGAUCGUCAUACAAUUGGCAUUGUCCAUUGCCAGUACUGCUAAUGCUUCACCUGCGGUCUUCUUGAGUCCUUCACUCUCAUUAGCAGCAUCAAAGAAGAUGUCCAUCAAGUCGUUAAUGAAAUCAGCUACGCCAUCAAGUCCAAGGGUAGCUCGAGUGGACGUAUCCAAAGAUAGCUCCGUAAGGAUCUUUGUUGCUGGAACCUUUAGCUUGUCGUACAUGUGGUCCUUUUCCAAGAUUGAGCAAAUAUUGUGCGCUACUAUCCCGUUGCUACAAAUAUCUUGGCGUAUCUUUUCAUUGGUUUCAUCUGUGCCACUGACAAGCAUGCUCACCACUUCCAGUGCCUUCUCAGUUAUUUCCAUGGUGAUACCAUCAUCUCUGAGGAUCUCAUACACUUUAUUUUUUACUGGGGAUAUGAUUUUGGAGAAGAGACCCUUGUAAUCAUAUAUGUGCUUGCAGUUGUCCGGGUUAACUGCAAGCUUGGCAAGAAUCAACAGGCCAUGGAUAAUUAGAGGUUUGCUUUCAGCUCCACUGGUAGUCCUGGAGGAUUGAAGAGUUCUUUGCUGUCUAUUUCUGAUGAUUUCUGCUCUCUGCCGAGCUACCCUUUCCAUUAAUUGCUUAACAAAAAUACAAGAUCCAUUGCUUUCUCCUCCAUUGGCAGUGCUGGCUGACUGAAUAGCCCCCUGCUGGUCAAUUGUGAUGUCAAUAGCUGUCUGAUGGUCAAUGUUGACAUUGGUAGCCGGUGUUGAUAUUUUCGUAAAGUAGGGAUCAAUCAUGGAAGAAAUGGACUCUGUUGCUCCUGAAAUGGACUCUGUUGCUGGCAAGAUGUGCCACAAUUUGUGCGAUGCAUAUUUUUGUCCUCUGAUCAGUGCGGCUCUUUGAGGUAACCAUGUCAAGCAGCCUAGAAACACAGAGCGGUGAGGAUUGUAUCUGGGAUAGUGUUCUUGUUCUAUGGUCCUCUUGGGAUGUCAAUCUAUGCAUCACCAAAACUGCAUCAAUGCGGUCCUGACUGUACUCAGAUUUCAUCAUUUCUGCUGCGAAGGAAGCCAGGUUCCUGUUGAUUGUACUUGACACCCCAUUUUUUAUGGCCAUGCUCAAGGUUUUGUCCAUAUAUUUGUCAAUCAAUUCUCUCUUAUCCUCAAGUCCAUACUUGAAGCUCACGUGGUUUGCAAGAUAAGAGCGAUACAACCUCAGAAACAACCACAAGAUGAACAAUCCACCUUGGAGAAGCACGAGAGCAUAGAACAAGAUAAGUGCACGAAACACAUUGGAAUUGUCAUGGUGUCUCGACAGGAUGGCAAUGAGACGAUAGAUGGAAAGUGAUAUGCAGCCUAGCCCUGCGAUCAUCGGGACCGCAAGGACCAAUAUUGCUAAGAAGGCCACAAUGGUUAUGAAAUCCCUCGCACUUCCAAGUGCCAGCAUGAGAUAGUAAACGAAAUUUUGGCCAGUUGCUCGGCCAGUCAGCGGCCUCCCCCGCCCCCAUUUCGUGUAGUGCUCGGCGCCCAAUUCGAGGAAUGCUGGUGGAACUUGGUUGAAGAAUUCUGCCUCGGGGCUUACAUUUAUGCCCACGACCCUGUGGCUCAACAGAGACAAACUAAUUACUCCUACUGUACUGGAUCUGUUUUAUAUUACGGCUAGUCAAGAGUGAUAAGCAGAGGACGGGGAUUGAGGAGAGUAAAAAGGACCAGAGGGAGUAUGAAGACGAUGGCGGUGAUGACCCAGAAAUCAGCCUUCUGUAGGGAAGUGGAGAAACCGCCGAGCAGGACGACGGUCGCCCAGACCAAGGCGAGGGCGCCGAGCCCCGUGGCAAGGAUCUGCAGGAACAUCUCGGUUACCAUGCAGAUGUUAAGUGGCAGCUCUGGUACCUGGUGCAAGGGCGUGUCUCCGCUCGUUGGCCGUUCAAGGUCGAGCCCUCGAGCACCUUGCAGCUGGAGUGCAUCCUUCAAGACCACCACGACUCCACGCACAAGUUGCACCACCACCCUCGAAGCCGCCCUCCAAGCCGCCCCUACCACCACCUCCAUUCUGCUUGCGGUCUGUUCAACCAAGCAGCUUGGUUCUCCUCUAUCAAGUGUUCUAGUCUUCUAGCUCUAAAUGCUGUCUGGGAAUGCAAGCGCACACAUAUAUCCUAGAAUCAGACAACCACCAGGUAUAUA